AGGUAAGCUACUAAGAGCGAAUGGUGGAUGCCUUGACUGGUAAAGGCGAUGAAGGACGUACUAGACUGCGAUAAGCUACGGGGAGCUGUCAAGAAGCUUUGAUCCGUAGAUUUCCGAAUGGGGCAACCCAAUGUAUAGAGAUAUGCAUUACCUAUAUAGGAGCGAACGAGGGGAAUUGAAACAUCUUAGUACCCUCAGGAAAAGAAAUCAAUAGAGAUUGCGUCAGUAGCGGCGAGCGAAAGCGCAAGAGGGCAAACCCAGUGCUUGCACUGGGGGUUGUAGGACUGCAAUGUGCAAGAGGUAAGUUUAGCAGAACAUUCUGGAAAGUAUAACCAUAGAGGGUGAUAGUCCCGUAUGCGAAAAACAAACCUUAGCUAGCAGUAUCCUGAGUAGGGCGGGACACGAGGAAUCCUGUCUGAAUCCGGGUCGACCACGAUCCAACCCUAAAUACUAAUACCAGAUCGAUAGUGCACAAGUACCGUGAGGGAAAGGUGAAAAGAACUGAGGUGAUCAGAGUGAAAUAGAACCUGAAACCAUUUGCUUACAAUCAUUCAGAGCCCUAUGUAGCAAUACAGGGUGAUGGACUGCCUUUUGCAUAAUGAGCCUGCGAGUUGUGGUGUCUGGCAAGGUUAAGCAAACGCGAAGCCGUAGCGAAAGCGAGUCUGAAUAGGGCGCUUAGUCAGAUGCUGCAGACCCGAAACGAAGUGAUCUAUCCAUGAGCAAGUUGAAGCUAGUGUAAGAACUAGUGGAGGACUGAACCCAUAGGCGUUGAAAAGCCCCGGGAUGACUUGUGGAUAGGGGUGAAAGGCCAAUCAAACUUCGUGAUAGCUGGUUCUCUCCGAAAUAUAUUUAGGUAUAGCGUUGUGUCGUAAUAUAAGGGGGUAGAGCACUGAAUGGGCUAGGGCAUACACCAAUGUACCAAACCCUAUCAAACUCCGAAUACCUUAUAUGUAAUCACAGCAGUCAGGCGGCGAGUGAUAAAAUCCGUCGUCAAGAGGGAAACAACCCAGACUACCAGCUAAGGUCCCUAAAUCUUACUUAAGUGGAAAACGAUGUGAAGUUACUUAAACAACCAGGAGGUUGGCUUAGAAGCAGCCAUCCUUUAAAGAAAGCGUAAUAGCUCACUGGUCUAGUGAUUUUGCGCGGAAAAUAUAACGGGGCUAAAGUAAGUACCGAAGCUGUAGACUUAGUUUACUAAGUGGUAGGAGAGCGUUCUAUUUGCGUCGAAGGUAUACCGGUAAGGAGUGCUGGAGCGAAUAGAAGUGAGCAUGCAGGCAUGAGUAGCGAUAAUUAAUGUGAGAAUCAUUAACGCCGUAAACCCAAGGUUUCCUACGCGAUGCUCGUCAUCGUAGGGUUAGUCGGGUCCUAAGUCGAGUCCGAAAGGGGUAGACGAUGGCAAAUUGGUUA
rnacentral:rRNA from 1 species